rnacentral:rRNA from 1 species
UACGGAGGGUGCAAGCGUUAUCCGGAUUUACUGGGUUUAAAGGGAGCGUAGGCGGGCUAUCAAGUCUGGGGUGAAAUCCCACGGCUCAACCGUGGAACUGCCUCAGAUACUGACGGCCUCGAGGGAGAUAGGGGCAUGCGGAACUGUAGGUGGAGCGGUGAAAUGCGUUGAUAUCUACAGGAACUCCGGUGGCGAAAGCGGCGUGCUGGAUCUCUUCUGACGCUGAGGCUCGAAAGCUAGGGGAGCAAACGGG